UUCCAGCCUGGGUGACAGAGACCGUGUUUCUGAAAAAAAAUUAUCGUGGUAAAAUAUAUAUAACAUACAAUUUACCAUUUUAACCAUUUUAAGUGUACAGUUUAGUGGUAUUAAGUAUGUUCGCAUUGUGCAACUGUUACUACCAUUCAUCUUCAGAAUUUUAAUCUUCCCAAACUGAAACUCUGUACCUAUUAAACAGUAACUUCCCAUUCCCCCUCCCUCUGCCCUGGUAAUCACUAUUCUGCUUUUUGGAUCUAUGAAUUUGGAACCUCAUGUAAGUGGAAUCAUGUGAUAUUGGUCCUCUCAUAUCUGGCUUAUUUCACAUAGCAUAAUGAUUUGAAGGCCCAUCCAUGAUGUAGCAUGUAUCAGGGUUUUAUCUGUUUUUUUUUUUUUGAGAUGGAAUUUCUCUCUGACAUCCAGGCUGGAGUGUAGUGUCAUGAUCUCGGCUCACUGCAACCUCGACCUCCCAGGUUCAAGCACACCACACCACGCUUGGCUAAUUUUUGCAUUUUUAGUAGAGAUGGGGUUUCACCGUGCAGGCCAGGCUGGUCUUGAACUCCUGACCUCAGGUGAUCCGACUGUCUUGGCCUCCCAAAGUGCUUGAAUUACGGGUGUGAGCCACCCCACCUGGCUAAUAUUAUCUCUAUUUUUUAUUUUUAUUUUUCGAGAUGGUAUCUUGCUCUGUCACCCAGGCUGGAGUGCAGUGGCGCUAUCUCGGCUCACUGCAAGCUCCGCCUCCCAGGUUCACGCCAUUCUCCCGCCUCGGCCUCCUGAGUAGCUGGGAUUACAGGCGCCCGCCACCACACCCGGCUAGUUUUUUGUUGUUGUAUUUUUAGUAGAGAUGGGGUUUCACUGUGUUAGCCAGAAUGGUCUUGAUCUCCUGACCUUGUGAUCUGCCUGCCUCAGCCUCCCAAAGUGUUGAGAUUACAGGCGUGAGCCACCCCGCCUGGAGGAUUUUAUCUCUUUUUAAGGCUGAGUCAUAUUCCAUCAUAUGUCUAUGCCACAUUUUGCUUAUCCAUUUAUCUGCAG
rnacentral:lncRNA from 1 species